UAUAUAUAUAGUACAUGGAGAUCAUAGUAAAUGGAAAAUAGCCCUAAAGCUCUUCUUAUUUGUGUGGUGUGCUACAGGAACCGCUGUACGUGAAGCUGAGGAGGGGACACGAGUCACUCUGACGUGCCCUCCUGAUGGUGGAUCACCUGCUAGAAGGUGGAGCACCACUCACACUGGUGCAAUAACAGACCAGAAAGGGUUCCAUGUUUCUCCUGCUGACCAGACGUUGACCAUAACGUCCGUGGAGAUGAACAACUCUGGCCUUUACAGCUGUGAUGGGAAACCUGUUGUGUAUCUGCAUGUGACCAAAGCUGAAAGUAAAACCACAACCUCUGCAGCUAAAACAAGUCUGACCACAGACACGAGUACAACCAAGAGACGGAGACACAAAAAAGAACAAGACAACAACGGCCUCGACCAGCAGAAGACCAGAAACCAGAACGAGUGCAGCGUCGACACCGGGGGGACACACAGAGAAAGACCUCCCCACUGCUUUGGUGGUUGGAAUAGUCUCCCCCAUCAUCAUCAUCUUCGUUGUGUACUUUGCUUGGAGACGAAGGCUUGA
ensembl:lncRNA